UAAAAGGGUGUAUUGUUUGUACAAAGAAAAGGACUGAGAACAUUACAAACAUCCCUAAGCCAUCAUGAAACGCAAAUUACGCCGAUAUCGCAAUGUUAAACCGUUCAAUUAAGGUUUAAUUAACCUUGAUAUCUCGAGUUUAAUCAGAAUUCGUGUAGGCUAGUAAAUUAUUUCCCGAAUGCACGGCAGAAUUUUUCUUAUCGUAUCAUCUGGUAGCCACCCACUGCUCUUUGCUAAUGCAACACUUAGCACCAGAGUAAUUACCAUUAUCCAAUUAUUCAUAUCCGCUAAAUUUAUAUGCAAGUCUGUUUUACUGUAGUUCAAAAAAUAUCAAAAACUGGAAAUUAUCGCGUCUCGCUGAUGGAAAAAAGUGUAAUUAAUAUGCAGACAGUAUCAGAGAGCAUACCUGUACAGGAAGGAUGCAAAACUAAUCUUUAUGUAAAUUUACAUUGUUUUUGACCGCUGCGGUGAAAAUACCGAACAAGUGCGCCUUAAGCUUUAAUUGUGAUAAAGCCGUUUUAUUGUCCCGAUUAAGAAAUCAAAAAAUCGUUGGCAACGCCAACACACAAAUAAAUUCCCUGAUAAUGCCUCCAACAAAUUAAAGUUAAUCUCGUGUUCCCCCUCACACCUCCACGCUAGAUGUAGGAGGUAAAUGCACAUUGCACUGUAAAUAGGUUGGCGCCAUUUUAGUUUCAACAUAGCGUUUAUUUUUCACUCGAUCUGCGAGCAGAAAAAUUCAGGCCAGUAUCAAGAGUUUAUUUACCAUAAAUUCAAUUAAACAGACGUUCCUAUCUUCCAUUUGUUUAAGAAUUUGCAUGGAAAUGCAGCGAGUUAAUUAAGCAAGAAUGUUUCUAACUUAUAAUUCGUCCUGCACUCAAGCGGAUGAUAAGGAAUGCAAAUAUCAAACUGCCUUCAUUUGCGAGACUGCAUAUUUCUGCAUUUCCAUGCUUUUUUAAGGAUGUCGUUAUGCAGGAACGCAACGUGCCGUAUGGUAAUUACCGGGUGGCUCAAGCUUCACAGGCGAUACCACCGACCAAGGAAUGAAAAAAUCUGGCCCCCAACCAAAAAGACGCAACUCUAAGGAGCCGCCCGUCGAGGAGACGCCGGAGACGCCAAUAGCAGACACAAGGACGCCGUCGACGUCAAUCGGAAACACAAUGCGCGCUAUAUCCACCGUCUCACCACUUCACUGCACUUCAUCAUCCACCCCGAACACCUGAAACAGAUAAUUGCUCUAAUUACCGGAGGAACUUUACGAUCUGUGUACGUAUUUGCCAAAUAAAACGUUAUUUUCU